UGAGGAAUAUUGCACAAUGGGCGAAAGCCUGAUGCAGCAACGCCGCGUGAGUGAUGAAGGCCUUCGGGUUGUAAAGCUCUGUCUUUUGGGACGAUAAUGACGGUACCAAAGGAGGAAGCCACGGCUAACUACGUGCCAGCAGCCGCGGUAAUACGUAGGUGGCAAGCGUUGUCCGGAUUUACUGGGCGUAAAGGAUGCGUAGGCGGAUUUUUAAGUGAGAUGUGAAAUACCCGGGCUUAACUUGGGUGCUGCAUUUCAAACUGGGAAUCUAGAGUGCGGGAGAGGAGAAUGGAAUUCCUAGUGUAGCGGUGAAAUGCGUAGAGAUUAGGAAGAACACCAGUGGCGAAGGCGAUUCUCUGGACCGUAACUGACGCUGAGGCAUGAAAGCGUGGGUAGCAAACAGGAUUAGAUACCCUGGUAGUCCACGCCGUAAACGAUGAGUACUAGGUGUAGGAGGUAUCGACCCCUUCUGUGCCGCAGUUAACACAAUCAAGUACUCCGCCUGGGAAGUACGAUCGCAAGAUUAAAACUCAAAUGAAUUGAC
rnacentral:rRNA from 1 species